rnacentral:rRNA from 1 species
AUGACAACGAAUGUAACAAUGGAUUCUCUUCUUCGUUUUUCUUUGUACAGCGACGAAAUAUCAAUCAAUCAUGGGAGCAGGAGAGGAGAGAAAGAACUGGAAGAAAGAAACGAUCCCCAUCGCAGCCGAACCAUCCGAGAAAAGGCCACCGUCUUUUUGCCACGCUUUGAAAGUUUGAAGUUUGACCACCAUCAUCCAUCGACCGAUACCUUUACUUUCCCUGUGGUGUUGUGUGAUCCGGGGGGACGGGGGGCGGAGGGGAGGUCAGGCCCGCGGGGCGCCGUCGGCGGGCGGCGGGGGGAAGAGCGGCGGCGCGUCGCGGCCGCCGAGGUCCAUGGAGGACUUGGCGGAGGCGGGCGGGGCGGCGAAGCGGGAGGAGAAGUCGCGGUAGCCGCCGGCGUGGUCGCCGCCGGCGUCGGGGGUGGCGCCGUGGCCCUCGUCGAAGUUGAGCGCGUAGCUGAGCGCGUCGUAGUUGAGCUUGCGGGCGCCGCCGAAGGCGUGGUGGUGCGGGCGGGGGCCGCGGCCGAAGCGCCGGAUGAAGGUCUUCCAGCGCGGGCCCGCCGCCAGCUCCGACCACUCCCGCACCUUGAGCAGCGCGUCCACCGCACCCUGCCACCAGUGCUCCUCCUCCCCGCCCAGCGUCGCCGCCGCCGCCCCGCCGCCGGCGCGCUGGUGGGAGAGCGCGGAGGACGAGGAGGGCGCGGAGGAGGGCCAGCAGGGGAAGCAGCAGCACCGGCUGCCCCGGCGCGCGAAGAAGGCCGCCUCCGCCUCGUCUACACCGCCGCCGUGGUCGGCGUCCAUCGCCUCGCCUCGCCUCGCCGCGGCCGUGGAUCGUGGAUGGAAGGAGGGAAGGAAACCCCUGCGCCGGCCGCCGAGCCGAUGUGGUUGGGUCUGGUCUCUUCGGCCUGUCGUGCAGUUGCGCCGUGUCGUGGCAGCGGAUGGCGUGCGGGCCUUUUAUCGGGGGGCCGCCCGCCGCGGGCAGGCCGUGGGCGGGGUGGGGGAGUCAACGGUGGGCGCGGCCGGCUGACGUGGGCCGGAAUCCGCGGGGCCCAACGUUCGCCAGAAUCAGCGAAGAGGUUGCUCGUUGGCACUGUCCACUUGGAGUCGUGGUAA